AAUAGAAGAGCGUUGUAUAAACACACUUGCUAUUAUGACAUAAGUAUCAACACUUUUAUUUUUAUUUUUUUAAUCGUUACCGUCUACAUUAUUUCUCAUAAUAUAAUUCAUCGUAACUUAUUAUUUAUUACUCAUUACCAUUACUAAUAUAAUCAAUCACUGCUUGAGAUAUAUACAGUGAUAAUGUAGAUUAUUGUUGUUAUUGUUUUUUAACAAGUAUUUAAUUUUUUAUGGAGUGAACGCAUUUUUAUUUCAGGUCAAGGACGUGAAAAUAAAUGGGAUUUGGAAUUCCAAGUGGAUGUGCAGUCGGCAUCUCUAGACUCUGGCUGUAUUGCGAAUCGGAGAGCUCGAUGCUUGGACUAUUGCGCGCUUCAGAACCGGAAAUGGAUAAAUCGCUACCUACCCAGCGUACUUUAUUUUUUAUCUUUAUUCUUUUUCUUCGUUUCCACCUUGUGUGUGCUCUAACCAGAUUUUAAUUUUUUAGAUUAUUUUUUAUUUUAAAUACACGACUACGUAAUGCUCCAAAAAUAGUAUUAUGACUGCUUGUGUUGUAUCAACCAAUGUAACGUCUGUUGUCACCAUACAGAAUUAUUUACCUUUCCAAUUACCAUUUUAUCAUUAAACUAUUUAUUUUCUAUUUAAUUUAACUAUUAUUCUAUAUUCACACAAAAAUUUUAAUUAUUUUAUCGGGUUUGUAAGUUUAUUGCUUAAAUUAUACCGAAUAAAAAUUUCUCUUUUUCGUUUCCCCGAUUACCGCGUUGUUUUUUCCGUUAUAUAAUCACACAUAUAAUUAAAUUCAUUAUUUUUAAAUAUGUAUAUGUAUUAUUCUUGGAUUUAUGUUUCAUUGAUUGUAUAAAUACACAUCAUAUUGUUGGUGUUAAUCAUCUGAUACCAAAGAAGUAUAUAGAGGUUGAAGUAGAAGAAGAGGAUGAUAACAAAGAAGAAGAAGAAGAAGAAGAAGAGAAGGAGUCGGGUGGUACCAAAUGAUUUAUGUAUUAGCGCGCGAAGAAAACAAAACAAUAGGCUGAAUACCAUUAAAUCAAAGUGACACGCUGAAAGAAUAUAUAUUUAUAAAUAUUUGGUAACUUUAAAUUCAUCACACAGAAAGGCAACUCGUUAUUUAUAUUAAUAACUUAAAUAAAUUAAUAAUAAAUAAUAUUAAAGAUUGAAACACUCACAGCGCUUAAUAUUUUUGAACUGUAGAAUGUAAUUGUGAUUUAAGUCAGUGACGUCGGCGAUCCAGUUGUAUGAAAUGGAUAUUCAUGAUGUUGAUGAAAAUCAUGGUCCAGUUGGUGAAAAACAAGAUUCAUCAAGAGUACCCACCGAAAAAUAAAAUAUUAACAGGUUUUUUUUUUAUUUUAAAUACUAAUACAGACACGGAGACAUUUGUUUGCCAUGAAUAAAUAUAGUAAAAAUAAUAAAUGA